GGCCGUGGGGCAGCUAUACAUGCAAGUCGAGCGAAUGGAUUAAGAGCUUGCUCUUUUGAAGUUAGCGGCGGACGGGUGAGUAACACGUGGGUAACCUGCCCUUUAGAUUGGGAUAACUCCGGGAAACCGGGGCUAAUACCGGAUAACCUUUUUAACCUCAUGGUUAAAAAUUGAAAGGCGGCUUCGGCUGUCACUUUUGGAUGGACCCGCGUCGCAUUAGCUAGUUGGUGAGGUAACGGCUCACCAAGGCAACGAUGCGUAGCCGACCUGAGAGGGUGAUCGGCCACACUGGGACUGAGACACGGCCCAGACUCCUACGGGAGGCAGCAGUAGGGAAUCUUCCGCAAUGGACGAAAGUCUGACGGAGCAACGCCGCGUGAGUGAUGAAGGAUUUCGGGUCGUAAAACUCUGUUGUUAGGGAAGAACAAGUGCUAUUUGAAUAGGCUGGACCCUUGACGGACCCUAUUCAAAAAGCACCGGUUAAUUACUGGCCACCACGGGGGCGGUAAAAUUGAGUUUUUGUUCUGGCUUCGGGUGGACGCCGGCGGCGUUGCUUAUUCCUUCCAGUUGGGGGGAACGAAUAAGAACCUUGUUCUUUGAAGGUAAGGGGGGGCGGGUUGGUUACCAGUGGGGCACCUUCCCUUAAGGUUGGGAUAAAUUCGGGGAACCGGGGGUUAUUCCGGAUUACUUUUUUUACCCCCAGGUUGAAAAAUGAAAGGCGGGUUUGGGUGUCCCUUAUGGAAGGGCCCCCGGCGCCUUAAGUUGUUGGUGAGGGAACGGCUUCCCCAGGCAACGGAGGGUAACCGGCCUGAGAGGGGGAUUGGCCCCCCUGGGAAUGAGACCCGGCCCCGAAUCCUUCGGGAGGCCACCGUAGGGAAUUUUUCCCCAAGGGGGAAAAUCUGACGGAGCAAACCCGCCUGAAUUAAAAAAGGAUUUGGGUUGUAAAAAUUUGGUUUAAGGAAGAACCAAGUACAGUGAAUAAGCUGUCACCUGACCGUACCUAUCCAGAAGGAUAACC
rnacentral:rRNA from 1 species